rnacentral:SRP_RNA from 1 species
GGGCAAUGCGUUAGGCUGGUUUCACAGAGCUGCGAAAACUUCACGCUCUGAACAGUGGAAGGAU